AUAGGUUUGGUCCUGGCCUUUCUAUUAGUUUUUAGUAGAAUUACACAUGCAAGUAUCUUCUUCCCAGUGAGAAUGCCCUCCAAAUCACUAUUGACAAAAAGGAGCAGGUAUCAAGCACACUAAUUAAAGUAGCUCACAACACCUUGCUUUGCCACACCCCCACGGGAAACAGCAGUGAUAAAAAUUAAGCAAUAAACGAAAGUUUGACUAAAUUAUACUAACAAAGGGCUGGUAAAUCUCGUGCCAGCUACCGCGGUCAUACGAUUAGCCCUAACUAAUAAACACCCGGCGUAAAGUGUGUAUAAGAAAUAACAUAAAUAAAGUUAAAUACCAACUAAACUGUAAAAAGCCCUAGUUAUCAUAAAAUACAUAACGAAAGUAACUUUAAAAAUUCUAACUACACGAUAGCUAGGACCCAAACUGGGAUUAGAUACCCCACUAUGCCUAGUCCUAAACCUAAGAAACUAUCAAACCAACUUACUCGCCAGAGUACUACUAGCAACAGCUUAAAACUCAAAGGACUUGGCGGUGCUUUACAUCCAUCUAGAGGAGCCUGUUCUAUAAUCGAUAAACCCCGAUACACCUCACCAACUUUUGCCAACUCAGUCUAUAUACCGCCAUCUUCAGCAAACCCUAAAAAGGAACGCAMAGUAAGCACAAGUAUCAAUAUAAAAACGUUAGGUCAAGGUGUAACCUAUAAGUUGGAAAGCAAUGGGCUACAUUCCCUAAUACAGGGCAUGAUACAACGAAAGAUUUUGUGAAACCAAAAACUAAAGGCGGAUUUAGUAGUAAAUUAAGAAUAGAGAGCUUAAUUGAAUACGGCCAUAAAGCACGCACACACCGCCCGUCACCCUCCUCAAAUAAAUAAUAACAACUAACCAUAUUAUCAAAUUAUUAAACUUAUAAGAGGAGACAAGUCGUAACAAGGUAAGUGUACUGGAAAGUGCACUUGGAAAACU
rnacentral:ncRNA from 1 species